CAUAACUUAAUUUACCUAGCACCCACUCAGGUCGUUUGUAUAAAUGCACGUAUAAACGUCGAUCACAGCGUUUAAGUGAGUAACACUGCAGAUUGUAUUAAAAAACAAUCAUCAUUCAACCGUUUUUUCCCCGGAUGUUGCGCGAUCAUAUCUCAACGGCGUUCCUGGCACUUUGAUAGUUAUUGCAAGAGGGAUAUAACAUCCAUACAACAAGGUGGCCUAUAGCCUGAUUUCAACCGAGAAAAAAUACUUGCAGGUGUGACGUAACAAUAUGGCGGACUGCGGGUGGUUUUGGAGCAUCAUUUGGUUCAUUGUUCUAAUCUUCUUCGGAUUUCCUAUUGGGUUUCUAUGUGCAAUUUUAUAUGUGCUUAUCAGCCCGUUUGCAGCGUGUUGCAACGGUUGUGUGGAAUUGACAAACUUACUUAGAAGAGGACUUGAAUUGCCGUUUACUUGUUCUCAAAAUAUGGUGUCCGGAAAACCUUUGUGUUAAGAGAAAUCUUAUAUAUGUGGUUAAUACGUGUACAAGAAUCAGCGUAUUUAAUGCGACUGUGAAGAAGAUGUUUAGUCACGAAAUUAGCCGAUGCUCAUAUAAAGCUCUUCUACCAGGCAUGCAUGUAGUCUAUCAUACUCUAUCAUACGUUAUCAUCAUUAAAUAUGCUAAUGAAGUUUGUUUACUGUACAUGUACAUCAUGCCUCAUAUAAAGUGUUGAAAUAAAAGGUUCGUUAGAUGGGCGAUAUAUCACUAGCAUAACAUAUGACGAAAGUACACAUUUAUUUUCUAAGCAAUGCAGCUGAUCAAUACAAAAUAAAUUUGUGAAAAAAAAACUCCCCACGAGAGUAAAAUUAUACAUUAGGUUAGACAAGAUAUCAGGCCCAACUCCUUGCUCCAAAACACUUGUUAUUUAAGAAUUCAUCAUUUUACCCCAACAUAUAAUGCUUAUGGUUUUAUACAUUAAAUUUUAAUCAAUUCUAGUGUAUAACAUUACUUAUACUAUUGUGUAUACUCGUAUGGCAAUAAAAAAUUAAGCAAUGGUGAAA